GAGUUUGAUCAUGGCUCAGAUUGAACGCUGGCGGCAUGCCUUACACAUGCAAGUCGAACGGCAGCACGGGAGCUUGCUCCUGGUGGCGAGUGGCGAACGGGUGAGUAAUGCAUCGGAACGUAUCCUGGAGUGGGGGAUAACGUAGCGAAAGUUACGCUAGUACCGCAUAUUCUGUGAGCAGGAAAGCGGGGGACCUUCGGGCCUCGCGCUCUUGGAGCGGCCGAUGUCGGAUUAGCUAGUUGGUGAGGUAAAGGCUCACCAAGGCGACGAUCCGUAGCAGGUCUGAGAGGAUGAUCUGCCACACUGGAACUGAGACACGGUCCAGACUCCUACGGGAGGCAGCAGUGGGGAAUUUUGGACAAUGGGGGCAACCCUGAUCCAGCCAUGCCGCGUGAGUGAAGAAGGCCUCGGUUGUAAGAC
rnacentral:rRNA from 1 species